rnacentral:rRNA from 1 species
GAUGAACGCUGGCGGCGUGCCUAAUACAUGCAAGUCGAGCGAACGGACGAGAAGCUUGCUUCUCUGAUGUUAGCGGCGGACGGGUGAGUAACACGUGGAUAACCUACCUAUAAGACUGGGAUAACUUCGGGAAACCGGAGCUAAUACCGGAUAAUAUUUUGAACCGCACGGUUCAAAAGUGAAAGACGGUCUUGCUGUCACUUAUAGAUGGAUCCGCGCUGCAUUAGCUAGUUGGUAAGGUAACGGCUUACCAAGGCAACGAUGCAUAGCCGACCUGAGAGGGUGAUCGGGCACACUGGAGCUGAGACACGGUCCAGACUCCGACGGGAGGCAGCAGUAGGGAAUCUUCCGCAAUGGGCGAAAGCCUGACGGAGCGACGCCGCGUGAGUGAUGAAGGUCUUCGGAUCGUAAAACUCUGUUAUUAGGGAAGAACAUAUGUGUAAGUAACUGUGCACAUCUUGACGGUACCUAAUCAGAAAGCCACGGCUAACUACGUG